rnacentral:misc_RNA from 1 species
CCCUCCUCCACCCGGCGAACAGAAACAUUUUCUCGCAAAUCAAGGCGCGAGAAGACAACGCAAAGGAAAACGGAGGCGCACGCACAUACGCACAAAGGUGGUCUCUCCUCUUUCUCAUCCGUUCUUUUAUUUGUGUGGUGCGUGUGUGUGCCUUUUGGCUCCUGUCCCCUUGUCGUCCCAUCUUUUGUUUCCUGCAUACCUCUCUUUCUCUCAGUAGCAGCAGCCGUGCAUCGCGACCUACAGAUCAAAGUCGUCACCUCCUCCUAUUCUUCCGCGCUCGCACAGACACGCACGCACGAUUUCCAUUACCCUUCCCCCUACCCUCUUCUUUCUCCGUCUAACGUGCGUCUGCGGCGUCCUCAGUGGAGGGGGGCCGCGGCAGCCUCGUGUGAGUUGAGGUGCAAACGAAAACGGGAAGUGUGAUAAACGAGAACGAAAAAAAGCGUCGUGGGCUUCCGAGGCACUGGGCAUGCACGCACGCACACAGACAGACAGAUACAUACAGCGGAAAACGAAAAUUAGAGGUGUGCGGCGCGGGGGCAUUUCCCCAUCUCCUGUCGAUUGAAGUCUCUCUACUUUGUUUCUGGCGUUGAGGGGAGGCACGCACAAGAUCGAACCUGCUCUCCCUCUCUCUUCUGAACCCUUUUCCGGCGGCGCGCAUCAAGUCUGCUCUGUCGCUCGACCGGUUAAGCCAACGCGUCAAGAAAUCGGCACUACACGACAAGCAGGUUAUCAUUUUGUUUUGGUGCCCGAGAAGCUAACGGUGGGGCCAACCGUUACCCCACCUAUCCCUCCACCCCCUUCCCAUCCACGUAUAAACACAAGAAACGAGUAGACGCGCGGCGCAGUAUUCCCCCCCCCCCUGUGUCGCGGAAAGGUUUGCUUAUCUUUGUUGUGGUGUUUGUCUCCUGUUUCACUUGAGUGGCUCCGCCUUCGCUUUUCUUUUUUCUUCGUUCUGUUUGCCAGAAGCACCAAAUCUCCGAGACACGACGGUGGAGAGUGUGCGCGCCCAUUUCUCUUUUGAUUCGUAGUUCCCCCCCUCCCUCUCCCCUCUUUCUCUGUCUUGAGGUUCCUUCUUAUAUUUUCGUUUUUCUGCGUGUGCCAGUGAGGUGCGCGCUCGCAUCUCUCUCUCCUCUGUUCGUGGAAUUUGGGCCCACUCGUGUAUUUCUUGUCUGUCGCUCGACACGAGCGAGUCUUGUCACCCUUCCCCGGCUAUCCGACCAGAGCUGCCUCUUAUUUGAACCCGGGAUCCCCACCGCUCCACCUAUUCGUGCCGUCUCUCUCUCUCUCUCUUUCCCUCGCGGCCUUGUUCACAUACAUUCUUGUUCUCUUCUUUGGUUUCCUUUUUUUUACUUCUCUCGCCGCGCAGACACAAACACAGACAGAGGUGCACACUUUAUUCUUCAUCUCUCAGACAUCAAAUUUUUUGUUGCUUCCUUUCCUUCGUAUUCUAUAUCUACCCUCCAUCUCCGCCCCGGAUGCACCUUACCUAAACCUCUCGCAUUUCUCUCCAUCUGUAUUACCUACUCCUUCUUUCGCGCCAUCAUUUUAGUUCGCGGCUGCUUACUGUGGUGGGUGUAUUGUGCCUUUCUGUGUUCUUUUCGUGUGCGUGUGCGUGUAUUUCUUUGUGGUUGCUCUCUUCGUUCACGGUCGCUUCGUAUUCGGCUCUGCAAACUCUUCGGUGUUUCGCUGUUGGCGCGUGCACACGUGUGAUUGUAGGUACCAUUUCCUUCUUUACUUGCGAAUUUCGUUUUUGUGCAUGUGUUGAUCUGUCUUCGUGCGCCUGUCUUUUCUCUCGCCCGUGCGCUCGCGUGUUGCGUCUUAAUGUGCGUGUCUGUGCAUCCACGUACUCGUGGUGUUUCUCUGCACCUUUGACUGCUGGGGAUCUUCUAUAGCCUGUCCCGCUCCGCCUCUCAAAAAGACUCCCACUCGAGCAGACGGUUAGCCCACACACGGUCGCGCCUUUUUUUCUUCUGUCCAUCUCUGCAUACGCUUACCAGCCCGAAUAGCGCCCCAUUCACAUCUUUUUUUUUUUUGGUUCUCUACCAAUCCUGCUUCUCUACACUUCUUGCGGUUCUCUCUUUUGACUUUUCCAAUAGAACUACCUAUACCUCUUGUGGCAGCCAUCAGCCCCCGCCCUCGCCUUUCCGUGCACGGGCGCACGCGCGAGUCGACAGAGACGGAGAGCGAUACGCCUGUGUCUCUCUGUGUGGUAUGAGCAAGUUUGAGUGGUGUUUCCUGUGCUUACUUCCCGUGUUCACCUUUUCCGCUGUUUUUCUUUUGCUCCGUCUUUUCGCUCGCACCACUUCCUUUCAAGUUGCACCUCCUCUCUGUCUCUUCUUUUUUUCUCUCUUGUCUUUGGUUUCUCUUGGAGUUUUCCUUCUUUUAUUUUCUGUGCGCGUGCGUGCGUAAUUGUUCUCCUUCUCUUGCGUGUGUGUGCUUGUGUUUAGAUUUCCUUUUCGGCCUUGAAGCUUGUGCCUUGGUGAUCGAGACGGAGAUAAACACUCUAUCGCCACCGCUACCCUGCCGGUUAGACACAAGCGCUCUUUCUCUGCUUUCUCUACCAACACCUCUCCUAUUUUGUUUCUUUUUUUUUUAUUUUUCUGAUUGCACUCCUCGACUUGUCCGUAUCUCUUCGUAUCUCUCCUUCGCUUGGGUUUGCGGCCGCUGUUUUCGCUCUCAUUUUGUGUGUGUGUGUUUUCACGUGUGCUCCUGCUGCAACCUACCUCGCCUUGACUGGCUUCCGUUUCUGUGGAACGCUUAUACAAACAUUCACAAACGUACUCAAACACGCACGAACGUGCACUCAAACGUCACACAUCUCCUCUUUCUUUCUUCUCUCCCUCAGACACCUUCCGUUAUACGUUAUACGUUUUCUUUUUUUCUUGUGUGUAUGAUUAUUGCUUGUUUUCUUUUCUGCUGUUUUUUUGUCACUUGAUUAUUGACUUCAUCACACCACCGUCACACGACUGCCUGAGAACGGGCAGUCGUGUUUGCCCACGAAGCGCUGAAACACGCACACACGCAUACACGCCUCUCGAAACGACGCCACUGAAGAGGAACAACUGCGUCGCUGUCCCCUUGGGCUCUCUUUUUGUCUUUUCGCGCCCUCUGGGCAACACGUGGAAAGAAUACUGCGAGAAGAGAGCGAGAACAGAAAAGCGGCGACGAGGGUUGGAAUUGAAGCCGACGAAAAAGGUGAAAACAGCGCGCGCGAGUAUAACAGAAAAGCGCGCACCUUACAUCAGCACCUGCAAGAAGACAGAGAGGAGGGCGACGCAUAACGGGUGGGGGAGUGCUGAACAUCCAAACACACAUAUAGGGGACGCGCACGCGACCAGCAGUGGAGAGAUUCGAAGCCCUAGAAAAAUUGAAGGAUCACACGAGCUGUGGAUGCUCACAGGUAGUCAGCCAAGAGACCUCCGCCGCUCGCCUCUCGUCCUCUUGCUUUGAUCGUGCAGCUCGGUUGUGUUUGUGUCCUUCGGUCCAAUCGCUGUGGGGCGCCCUAUCAUCCUUCCACCUCACCCAUACGCACAUCCGCUCUACCACAUCGAUAUUGCUCAUUUUCGUUCUCCCUUGUGGUCAUCCUCCCUGUCGUCACGCAGGGUAGCGGAACAACGAAGAACAACUCAGGAAGGAAAGCGUCCACGUAUACUGAGCACACAGAAGGCUUUAUAUCCUUUUUUCUUUCUCGUUGUCUUUGGUGUCCGCUUUUCUUCCUCUCUCUCUUCGUGAGUUUGCCAGUCGCGCCCACACUCGCCCGUCUUCUGUGACCUACUCUCAUCUUCUGUUCGCUUGUGCGCUUCUUUUUUUUUGUUACCGUUUCUUUACUUUGAGUGUUCCGUUUUUUUUUGUUUCGGUUUCGAUUCUUGUAGCUUAUAAGAGCACGCUGGCACAAACAUAAUUAGAAGUCCUCCUCCUCUAUCUCCUCCUGCACGCUUCCCCUCUCCCUCCUGCAGGGCUCUGUGAACUCUUUCGACGCCCGUCUUUUUUUUUACCAGACUCAUUUUCAUUUAGCGGUGUGUUCCGUAGUUUCCGUUUUCCUUCUCCCCCGUUUUACGUUCUCCACCUCUGUGUUGCACACUGAAGAGACAUACAGACGCGUACGAAGGCGUUGCGGGGCGGUACGAGAUUCAGCAGGCGACGACGAGUACUGGUGGAGGUGCUGAGUAGCAUACAAGACGGACACUCUCCCAUACGCUUAGGCGGACAGUCUGGCUCGCAUCGCCGCGCCCUCAAACCGCUCCCUUCCUCCAUCUACCCAAAGAGAGCGAAAAAAAAAAUAAAGGGUGGGCGGGAAGCGAAGGAAAAGGCAGAAAACAGCGCUGAAAAUGUACCUUUGUUGUAAUGACACCUUCUUGACGUCAUUCGCCUUGGACACCCUGCUCAGCAAACUGGUCGCCGAGGUAUGCGAGAAGCGGCCAGUUAGCUCUCGCCAAGUGCUGGAGCUGAUGCGGGAGGCGCUCGAGACGCAGAAGAUGCAGCAGUGGUACUACUCCGAGACAGUCCGCUCCUUCAACGAAGCCGUCAACUCGCUCAGCCGCCGCGGCUUCCCGCUUCAGAUGGCGUGUCCUCUGUACUUUCGCAUCCCACAAGAAGACGGCGGUGUGCACGAGUUGUUCCGCUACGGCUCAGAAAUCGCGGUAACACCGAACAACUACGACCAUUUUGAGCUCAUGCUCAAGCGGUACCAAGCUGUCGUGAACGGCGAGCUGUCGCAGGAAGGCUACUACGACGCCGUGCGCCACCUGCUCCCCAUCAGUGCCCACUGCAAUUUAUUGAACUCUAGCUACACACCCAUCAUCAAUUUUCUGCAAGAGUGUCUACUGAACCCGCGCUCGCAGUGGGCCAUCCAAUCGUCCUCGGUGUGGGAUCAGCUGGGGGUCACGUACGCCGUGCCAUUUGCCGGGAGACUCUUCGCGGUCGACCCGACCAAACCCGUAACAGCCCUUGUGCCUUUCGAGGACGCCAACCGCUAUGUGGAGAUGGCCAGUGAGCGCUGCAGAACACUCAGCAGCCUUCUGACCACUGGCGCGUCGCUUAAUGUGGUGCGCAGGGCAGCUGCUGCCGCCGCGUCGCCGCCCUCGGCGUCACCUGGGCGCGCAGCGGUCAUAUCGGCGCCGCCCACCAUCACCGUGGCCAGCAGCGCCGCCACAAGUGAGGAAGCGAGGCCGUGGGAAGCGUUUGAGGCCAUCGGCCUGCGCCCCGAGGUGUUCGGCGACAUGUCGCCAGCUGAGAUCGAAUUUUGGAAGUACAUCCUUCGACUGCGGCAGUCGCCUUCGCAGAUCCACGACAUCUCCUUUCACUUAGAAUUUGGGCCGCACCACAUGGACCUCAAAGAGAACGGCCGCUUUAUUCCUGUGACGCGGCUGAACCUGAAUCAGUUCAUCCAGGCGGUCGUGGCGAAGCAAGACGAGGUGCACAGGUACAUCAAUGAAGUUGCCCUCGGAACGCCAACGCACAGCAACGCGUCCAGGGGCGCAGGAGGGGGAGGGGAGGGGUCCGCGGGCCCACCUCCGCCCCCAGUGGCGGCCUCUAACACAGCGGCCACACAGCUGACGCCGCCACCGCAACAGGAUAUCAAAAUCCCAGCGCAGCCGCCACCACGCACAGUCGGAUCUGAGGCGGCCUCCGCGGUCGGCCACACACAAAGCGAAGCGCACCGUGGCAACGAGGCGCACCUCACGCUGCGCGACGUAGACUCAACGGUGGUGCGUUCUAUCAUGGAACUGCGCUCGCAGUAUCAGCUCGGCCGGCUGACGAAGACAGAGUUGAAUGCGCGGCAGCUGCGUUUUUGCCUGCCCUGCCACGAUGGUGUCUACAACCUUAUACCGAAUGGUCGGCACAUCCAAGUGGCAACAGGCAACAUUGGCAUCUUCCUCCAGUACGUUGAGGAAGAAAGGAAACGUGUGGAGGCUUUAUCUGGUGGCAAGGCAGAGGACAGCGCAGCACGCGCUUGCUCGCACUCUGCCGAAGCGACGACGGGCGGAAUCAGGUCCUUAAGCGUCAUGCAACGCGACCGCGAGCGUGUCUACGGUACAGUGGAGGAAGCAGACGCCGAUGUAGGGUACUGGACAGACAAGAACUUGCUUGACAUUUGGACCUACGAGUGCACGACAGAGUGCUUGUUGAAGUCGAGCAUGUCUCCAGAAGAAAUAGUGCGGCAGACACAGCUACAGUGGGACACGAACUUCCUUAGUAGCAAGGACUGCCCCUACGCGAAUGCGUCAGAAGAUGGGUGUGUCAUCCUGCCCAAGGACGUCAAGACGUAUCUUCGGCUCUUGCGUAGACGCCUACAGUCCAUUCGAUUGGCAAUCUUAGAUGCGGGCAAGUACCCUCAAGAGCCAUCCGAGUGGGAUGUUGCAGAGUGGGAUGUGGUUACUCCGUCUACGCCGCCAGUGGAGCUCGAGAUCCCGGCAAGCGUUCACGCCCUCACGUCCACGCCCGAGAAUCUUAACAUGUUCUCACCUACACACAAUACCGGUGGUCUUUUGGCACCGUCGCAGUCACUUAAUUUGUAGAUGAUGCGAUGCAUUUCCGUUCUGCGUGAGGUUUUUGAGAAUGGCACCGUCGUUUGUUUUGCAUUGCCCCACCUUUUCUUUUCGUUUUUUUUGGUUCUUCUUCGCGUGAGUGGGUCUGUACUGUUUCCCGUAUUAUGGCGUGUGACGUUGUUUUUUUUUUUUGUUUUCUUCCAGUGGGUGUGGGUGUGUUUUUCUUGCGGGGCGGCGGUGUUCAGUCUCAUCAUCAGUCCAUGCCUCACAUACGCUAUCAGAAUCACUAUAGUACGUCCUUCUCUUCCCCUCCCUCCUUUCCUCCCUUAUGCCUCUUCUACAUGUUCUCUCUCCCAUCCCCGUCUCCAUCCCAUCCCAUCUCCCGACCUACUAGACUCUUGUUUUGGGUAAUUCUGUGGUCUUCUUCGCUCUGCCCAAACCAUCGCUUUUCAGUUUUCUGUGUCAUCUUGCGUGUGGGUCUCUUGCACCACCCCUUUUUUUUUCGUUGUUUUAUUUUGUUGUUUCCUGUGGAUUUUUCACCGUUUGGCUGCCCUCCUCGUCCUCCUACUAACCCGCCACUUGCGUGUGUGUGUGUGUGCUUGUGUGUGUGUGUAACCUGUCGAACGUGUAUCUCUUUUUGAUUUCGCUUCUUGUUUGUUUCUUUGUGGUCUCUGUCGGGUGUUUAGCUCUUUUUUUUGCUUCGGCUAUCUGUGUUUUUCGCUUUCUUGACUUUCUCCGUUCGAGUUCUCCUGCCUAGCACUGGUCCCUCUUUCUGAUCACUUCUCUGUUUCUCCACCACUACCACAUACACACCUGCGUCUCCUUUUUUUCCAUUGCCGCGGUCUUCAUUCAAACUGAGCUAUGUGUGUGUGUGUGUGUGUGUGUGUGUGUUUGCGGGCUUUUUCUUCGUGUGCAUGCCUUGCGAUGUGUGCUUUUUUUCCUUGCGCGUUGCUUUCCUCUUUUUCCUUGGACUCUUUUUUUUUGGUGGUGUGUGUUUACGUCCACACUCAUCAACAGAGAUACUCAAACGCGCAUACGCCUAUACGCACACAGCUGCAGGUCCCUGUCUCCCGUGCUGUCUGCCAAUGUCUCUUUUCUUUCUUACUGCACCUCCUUCUUUUCCGAUUAUGCUCCCUCGCUUUAGGACAGACGAUAUACGCAGACUAAACUUUUUUUGUGGAGAGAGGGAAGGGAAGGGAAGGGAAGGAAGAAGGGGGAGGGGGGCGGAAGCGCACAGUUUUGACUUCGUUGUUUCAUACAGUGUUUCUUUUGUUGUUGGAGUGCGCUCUUCGGCUUUCUGUUCACUUUUUAGUUUUCUUGAUUCCUCUGCGGCCCUGAUGAAAGGAGACACACCUCAGAGUGCAUCACAUGUCCGGGUCCAGUACCCCCCCCCAAGAAAAAAACUCUGUGUGUGUGUGUGUGUGUGUGUGGAGAAGCCGAGCAGCCCCCCUCCCCUCCCCAUCCCUUGCCAAAUGCCGAACAACGUGUGGUGAUACCAAGGUCAGGUGCGUGCGAUCCGGGGAGUUCAGAGUGAUUUAUCGCCACUGACGUCGGCGUUGAGGUCGUGGAUGGCGUGGCAUCGGAGCGACCUGCGGCACCACACACACUUGUAGGCCCAUGUUGAAAAGGAGAAAACAAAAACUGAGAAGAGAAACGGGAAAAGGGCGCGCACCUUUUCUCCUGCAACGUCCAACUCAAGGCUCUCGCUCUCUUGCGCAUCACUCGUCUGCUCCG